CAAUGUUCACAACAUUUAUGGACAGGUCUCAAAUGUGUGGCAUAAACGAAUUUUGCAAAACAAGAUGGCGAAGAAUAGAAAAAAACAGCGUUGCUCCCGGUUUUGCCUUGAAAUAAAUUGUGAUUUUCAUUAAAAUAAGUUCCUGCAACCUGAUCCGGCUGGUGCACGGAGAUGCAAAACUCCGGCAGGGAACCGUACGAUAAAGAUUCUGAUUGUAAGUGAUGUCCAGCUGGGGUUUAACGAAAAGGGUUUUAUUCGAGGUGGUUCCCCACGGGUUGAUCUACAGCAGCGAUGCUCGGUUCGAGCGACUCUUCCAUGAGGCCAAAGUGUUUCUUAAAAAGUCGGAAGAUGACGGGUAGUUCAACACUUCUUUUUUGGUCGUUUCGGGUUACGAGCACGACUUUCACAUCAUUCCGGAGGAGAACCUGGCGAGAAGUUACGUUAGUCAACCAGGUUCGACGGUGGCCACUUCCCUGGCAAAGCGCAAUACCAUCAAAAAGUUCAACGCCAUUUUGAACAUUCACAUGUGCCCGGAGCUGCAGGCGGAUCACCCCUUUGUGUUCGAGACUAGGUUCGAGACGGUUCAAUUGACGGAGUUGAGAACGCGUUGCUGCUGGACGCGGGAGACGUGAAACUUUGCGGGAAACUGACCGAUAACGAAAACAGCCAAAGUUGCCAUCAAUUCGGCUGAGGAUUGCAGGUGCCGGAAUGAGCAGCAGUACAACUCGAUCGGGAGUGGGCAAGGCAACAGUUGCCGGAUCGUGAACACGGAGGCAUGGUGACGGCCAAGCGGACAGAAGAGGUGGCCCAAUAGUGUAGGGGCAGUGCCAGCCAACCGGUUGCGAGCGAGACGUCCUGCUGGUCAUAACCUACAGCCGGAAUCACGUUGCGGACAACACUGACCAGCAGCUGUUUCAUUGGUGCAUGGCUAGGCCAGGUUCUCCGCUCCGCUCCGGACGCGUCAGGAAGUAUGGUGAUCCCGACAAAAUGUGGCUGCCCAUGGUCAAGGUCGGUCCAUCGCACGUUGUCGUCAUCGUUCCCACCAUCACCACGGCCACUACAAAUCGAUGAAGUAGAUUCCGAGACGUCACAACUGAGCAAAUCAUUUUUAAUAUAAUAAAUUGUCAAAAACAUUGAUAUGCUUAAAUAAAAGUUAUGGACAAAAAACAAAUUGUUCAAAAAUGUUUAAUAAAGAAAAUUGAGAAAUUUACAACAUAAGGAUUAAAGAAUAAUUAUUACAAGUAGAACAAUUGAGAAUCAAAUGAAAAUUCACUUGUAAGUUA